UGGGGAAUUGUUCGCAAUGGGCGCAAGCCUGACGACGCAACGCCGCGUGGAGGAUGAAGGUCUUCGGAUUGUAAACUCCUGUUGCCCGGGACGAAAUGCUUCGACCUAACACGUCGAAGUUUGACGGUACCGGGUGAGGAAGCCCCGGCUAACUCUGUGCCAGCAGCCGCGGUAAUACAGAGGGGGCAAGCGUUGUUCGGAAUUACUGGGCGUAAAGGGCGCGUAGGCGGCCUUCUAAGUCGAACGUGAAAUCCCCGGGCUCAACCCGGGAACUGCGUCCGAUACUGGAAGGCUUGAAUCCGGGAGAGGGAUGCGGAAUUCCAGGUGUAGCGGUGAAAUGCGUAGAUAUCUGGAGGAACACCGGUGGCGAAGGCGGCAUCCUGGACCGGCAUUGACGCUGAGGCGCGAAAGCCAGGGGAGCAAACGGG
rnacentral:rRNA from 1 species